rnacentral:rRNA from 1 species
UUAAUUGAAGAGUUUGAUCAUGGCUCAGAUUGAACGCUGGCGGCAGGCUUAACACAUGCAAGUCGAGCGGUAGCACAGGGGAGCUUGCUCCCUGGGUGACGAGCGGCGGACGGGUGAGUAAUGUCUGGGAAACUGCCUGAUGGAGGGGGAUAACUACUGGAAACGGUAGCUAAUACCGCAUAACGUUGCAAGACCAAAGAGGGGGACCUUCGGGCCUCUUGCCAUCAGAUGUGCCCAGAUGGGAUUAGCUAGUAGGUGGGGUAAUGGCUCACCUAGGCGACGAUCCCUAGCUGGUCUGAGAGGAUGACCAGCCACACUGGAACUGAGACACGGUCCAGACUCCUACGGGAGGCAGCAGUGGGGAAUAUUGCACAAUGGGCGCAAGCCUGAUGCAGCCAUGCCGCGUGUGUGAAGAAGGCCUUCGGGUUGUAAAGCACUUUCAGCGAGGAGGAAGGUGGUGA